UAAUAGUCUGCCUCAUCCUCAGCCUGGGCCCCAGUGAUGGUCAGAGUGGCUUCGUUUCCCGAGUUGGAGCCAGAGAAUCUGUCAGGAAUCCCUGUGGGCCGCUCACUAUCCUCAUAAAUGACCAGCAUGGGGGCUUGGCCUGGCUUCUGUUGGUACCAGUGUGCAUAACUACCCUCCAGUCCAGAACAGGUGAUUGUAGCCAUCUGUCCCAGGGACACUGUCACUGAGGGCAGCUGAGUCAGCCCACUGGAGACCACGGAGACUGAAAAGACAAAAGAGGACAGAAAUCAAUCAGCUGGGCAUCUGAGAUUGGGUUAGUAGCCCAGAAGAUUAGAUUCUUGUCUCUUGAGCUUACUGUGGAGAGGCCUCCUGAGAACAUUCUAGCUCUCCAGGCACUUCCAGCAGGAGAACAGACUGAGAACAAAUAUAGAAGAGAAAAUUGCUAUGAGCAACUAGAAGAAAACAGAGAAAGAACUGUUCUUGUGGGGAUUUUGCUGUUGGUGGAAUCAAAGCCACACAAAAUCCUUGAGAAAGAAACUGGAAAAGAAAAAAAUCCAGUACAGGAAAAAGUCCCUCGCUUGCUGUUCUGAUGAGGCCAAAAUCCAUGACCUCCCUGCUAACUCACCCCAGCAUGUUGAGUGUAUACCAAUAAGGCAGGUAAAAAAGGAAA